GCGGGCGUGGCGGAACUGGUAGACGCACCAGAUUUAGGUUCUGGCGGUGAAAGCCGUGGGGGUUCAAGUCCCUUCGCCCGCACCA
rnacentral:tRNA from 1 species